rnacentral:lncRNA from 1 species
ACCCACCAGAGCCUUGGGGCAGUGUCCUUGCCUGUCCGUUUACAUCUCUUACAAGCAUCCUAUCCUAUUAAAUCUUUUUCUUGGAGUUCCGGUCAUGGCUCAGUGGUUAAUGAAUCCAACUAGGAACCAUGAGGUUGCGGGUUUGAUCCCAGACCUCACUCAGUGGGUUAAGGAUCUGGCGUUGCUGUGAGCUGUGGUGUAGGUUGCAGAUGCAGCUUGGAUCCAGCGUUGCUGUGGCUCUGGUGUAGGCUGGUGGCUACAGUUCCGAUUCGACCCCUAGCCUGGGAACCUCCAUAUGCAGCACGGGAGUGGCCCUAGAAAAGGCAAAAAGACAAAAACAAAACAAACAAAAAAAAAACUUGUCAAUCCUUUGUCUUUCGCUGAAUUCCUUCUGCGCGGAGGCAUAAAGAACCUGACCCUUGGUGAGUCCACAGGGUGAGUAACUCAAAUUUAAAACCAUGGGUUUAAGUCCCAACCUGGCUUUUGGUUGGGUUCGAGUCCUGGCAUCACAUGGGUUCAAGUCCCAAUCUGUGUUCUGGCUAGGAACAGGCUGUCAGGGCUUUCAGUUUCAUAUCCAACCCACCCAUUGCUGAGUCCACUGAUUAAAUUACUAUGGCCCUAGAAAAUUUUCUCACUUGACAAAAUGACUUUGGGAAAAGAAAGGUGCAAUCAUCCAAGAAGCAUGAUUAGAUCAAAGCACCUAUAAAGGCAUUUCUUGAAAAGUUGUGGGUACGGCUGUUGACUUACAUGGACUUUCCUGGGACCAAAUUGAUUAAAAAUGAAAGCAAUUAUGUAAAGAGAUAGUACCCAAAGCACCAACUCUAAGUAUUCAAACCGUAAAAUAACCUCUGGGUCCCCGUCUUCUGCAGAUGGGAAGCAGUCUGAGACAGCUCUCAGCCACAGAUGACGUGUUUUCCAACACCCACUUCAGGAGCCACAGAGGAGGAUAACGGGGAAGGAAGAGCCGUCCAGAAGAUGGAAUCAAGUGGAGAACCCGGACUGAGAAGGGACUCCCGGAAAACGUAACUGGAACACACCAAGGAGCAUUCCCUACUAUCAGAGUCGGGGAGCUUACACCUUGCACGUUCUAUGUAGCCAAAGCCAUAUAAAUUAAUGUACAACCAUGAAUCUACUCUUGGUAGGAAGAGGGAUGGAGGAAGAGGAAUAUUGGGACUAUCUGCUACUGCUACGGGUUUUCUUUUUGAGGUCCUGGAAAUGUCCCAGAGUUAGCCUGGUAGUUGUACAAAUCUGUAAAGUACGGAAAGCUACGUACUUGUCUACUUAAAAAUGGUUUAAAUGGUGAAUUUUAUGUUAUGUGAAUUUUCUCUCAUUAAAAGAGGAAACUCUUCCUUUUCCUAGAAAAAUGUAUUAAGCUGAGUAUGACUAAACACUAUCUGGUUUUAAUACACAAAGCAAUUAAGGAAUUUACAAAAGGCAAAACUAACCUUCCCAACUGGUAGAUCAUGUUACAGCAGUGCCAGUCUCUAAAGGGUUGGGAAGGAGAGAUGGUUUGACUCAGAAUAAUUCCCAACCUAGAACAUCUCUGAGUGUGCUGAGUGUCUAGUCUGCUUCUGUGUCCCAUUGGGAGAUUGGGUUUUCAUUUUUGCCUUGGAGCCACUUAGAGGUUGACUUAGAAGGGAUUUGAACCCAGAGAUCAUCCUCGGACUAGAUAGAAAUAGUCCAGACCCUGUGUGACAGGCCAAUCAAACACAAGGAAGCUUGGAGUUCCUGUCAUGGCGCAGUGGUUAAUGAAUCCGACUAGGAACCAUGAGGUUGCGGGUUCAAUCCCUGGCCUUGCUCGGUGGGUUAAGGAUCCAGCAUUGCCAUGAGCUGUGGUGUAGGCCAGUGGCUACAGCUCCAAUUAGACCCCUAGCCUGGGAAUCUCCAUAUGCCGCGGGAGCGACCCUAGAAAAGGCAAAAAGACACACACACAUACACAC